rnacentral:rRNA from 1 species
GACGAACGCUGGUGGCGUGCUUAACACAUGCCAGUCGAACGGAAAGGCCCUGCUUGCAGGGUACUCGAGUGGCGAACGGGUGAGUAACACGUGGGUGAUCUGCCCUGCACUUCGGGAUAAGCCUGGGAAACUGGGUCUAAUACCGGAUAGGAGCCAUUUUUAGUGUGAUGGUUGGAAAGUUUUUUCGGUGUAGGAUGAGCUCGCGGCCUAUCAGCUUGUUGGUGGGGUAAUGGCCUACCAAGGCGGCGACGGGUAGCCGGCCUGAGAGGGUGGACGGCCACAUUGGGACUGAGAUACGGCCCAGACUCCUACGGGAGGCAGCAGUGGGGAAUAUUGCACAAUGGGCGCAAGCCUGAUGCAGCGACGCCGCGUGGGGGAUGACGGCCUUCGGGUUGUAAACUCCUUUCGCUAGGGACGAAGCUUUUUGUGACGGUACCUAGAGAAGAAGCACCGGCUAACUACGUG